AGGACGAACGCUGGCGGCGUGCUUAACACAUGCAAGUGGAGCGACGAACCAGGGCUUGCCCUGGGGCAGAGCCGCGAACGGGUGAGUAACACGUGGGUAACCUACCCCGAUGAUUGGGACAACCCGAGGAAACUCGGGCUAAUACCAAAUGUGCCCGCAGUCUGUGGGGACUGCGUGUAAAGAUAGCUUCGGCCUUCGCAUCGGGACGGGCCCGCGGCCCAUUAGCUUGUUGGUGGGUAACGGCCUACCAAGGCGACGAUGGGUAGCUGGUCUGAGAGGACGAUCAGCCACACUGGGACUGAGACACGGCCCAGACUCCUACGGGAGGCAGCAGUGGGAAUAUGGACAAUGGGGGCAACCCUGAUCCAGCCAUGCCGCGUGAGUGAAGAAGGCCUUCGGGUUGUAAAGCUCUUUUUGGCGGGACGAGUGAUGACGGUACCCGCAGAAUAAGCCCCGGCUAACUUCGUGCCAGCAGCCGC
rnacentral:rRNA from 1 species